GACGAACGCUGGCGGCGGGCCUAAUACAUGCAAGUAGAACGCAGUUGCGAACGGGUGAGUAAUGCGUAGGUAACUGCCUCAUGGCGGGGGUUAACUCUUGGAAAGGUUAGCUAAUCCCGCAUACUGUCAGAUGGACCUGCGUGGUAUUAGCUAGUUGGUGGGGUAACGGCUCACCAAGGCGACGAUACACAGCCGACCUGAGAGGAUGACCGGCCACACUGGAACUGAGACACGGCCCAGACGCCUACGGGAGGCAGCAGUAGGGAAUCUUGGACAAUGGGCGGAAGUCUGACCGAGCAACGCCGCGUGUGUGAAGAAGGUUUUCGGGUCGUAAAGCUCUUUUGGUAGAGAAGCGGUAUCUAACCAGAAAGCCACGGCUAACUACGUGCCAGCAGCCGCGGUAAUUC
rnacentral:rRNA from 1 species